AUAUUGGUGGUUCAGUGGUAGAAUUCUCACCUUCCAUGUGGGAGACCGGGGUUUGAUAUCCGUCCAAUACA
rnacentral:tRNA from 1 species